rnacentral:misc_RNA from 1 species
UACUUAGGGGGCAAGCGUUGUCCGGAAUUAUUGUGCGUAAAGCGCGCGCAGGCGGUUUCUUAAGUCUGAUGUGUAAGCCCACGGCUUAACCGUGGAGGGUCAUUGGAAACUGGGGAACUUGAGUACAGAAGAGGAGAGCGGAAUUCCACGUGUAGCGGUGAAAUGCGUAGAUAUGUGGAGGAACACCAGUGGCGAAUGCGGCUCUCUGGUCUGUAACUGACGCUGAGGUGCGAAAGCGUGGGGAGCGAACAGG